AAAAUGUACCACAUCACCCCUAUAUCAUUUUUUUUUGUUUCAUGUCCAUUAAACAACUACUGUUCGUCAAAGUUGCAAGAUUAAGCUAAAGUGUGUAAUCUCGUCCGUGCAUAAAUUAUCAAAACCAAUGGGUAUUUAUAAAUGAGCUACUCUCGUCGGUUUGUUCGUUUUCUGAAAAUAAGGAUGUUAUGAAAUUGUUAUCAUUGUCACGUGACUUGGAUGCACUUUGAUAAUAUUUUUUUCUUAGCGCUAAUCAAUAGGUUAUAUCACGCAAGGUUUUAUCUGAAAUAAAGUUGCUAUACAUAGUUGCGUUGUCUAAUAAAGACAAUAGGUGCAAACAUACGUUAAAGACAGGAGAAAUAAAAGCAUUGUUUUUGGAAAACUAACAGGGAGAAUGAAGAUAUACUGUUUGAGAUGUAGAAUCAAGACAGAGACUUUGUAUGAACAUCUUGUCAAAAUGGCGAACGGUAGAACUAGCGUCAGAGGGAUAUGUGCACAUUGUGGCACACAGAAGCAUCAGAUUGUUGGCUAGCCAUUUCCGGUCUGCCAAGGAAACAUUUAUUAUUUUUAUUUUUACGAACCAUUUUAUCAACUUAUAAUAUUUUUAUUGUUCAUCAAAUUCGCCGAGAAGAUGCCUCACGUGACUAGCUUACAAAUAAAUCAAAUAUUAUUUCACUAAUGAAAAUUUUCAAUAAUUCUGGUCUACAAAAACUUGUGUUCAAUAUUGUUUAAAUUUAUACAUGUCAAUUAUUAAUUUACAUUAAUUCUUGCAGAAAAUCUGAAUAAAACUACAGUAUCGUCGUA